GGUAGUCCAUGCCGUAAACGUUGGGCGCUAGGUGUGGGCCGCAUUCCACGUGGUCCGUGCCGCAGCUAACGCAUUAAGCGCCCCGCCUGGGGAGUAUGGCCGCAAGGCUAAAACUCAAAGGAAUUGACGGGGCCCCGCACAAGCGGCGGAGCAUGCGGAUUAAUUCGAUGCAACGCGAAGAACCUUACCAAGGCUUGACAUGCAGGGAAAUCCUCCAGAGAUGGUGGGUUCGCAAGGGUCCUGCGCAGGUGGUGCAUGGUUGUCGUCAGCUCGUGUCGUGAGAUGUUGGGUUAAGUCCCGCAACGAGCGCAACCCUCGUUCGAUGUUGCCAGCGGGUGAUGCCGGGGACUCAUCGGAGACUGCCGGGGUCAACUCGGAGGAAGGUGGGGAUGACGUCAAAUCAUCAUGCCCCUUAUGUCUUGGGCUUCACGCAUGCUACAAUGGCCGGUACAAUGGGCUGCGAGACCGUGAGGUGGAGCGAAUCCCAAAAAGCCGGUCUCAGUUCGGAUCGGGGUCUGCAACUCGACCCCGUGAAGUCGGAGUCGCUAGUAAUCGCAGAUCAGCAACGCUGCGGUGAAUACGUUCCCGGGGCUUGUACACACCGCCCGUCACGUCACGAAAGUCGGUAACACCCGAAGCCGGUGGCCCAACCCGCAAGGGAGGGAGCUGUCGAAGGUGGGACUGGCGAUUGGGACGAAGUCGUAACAAGGUAGCCGUACCGGAAGGUGC
rnacentral:rRNA from 1 species